rnacentral:rRNA from 1 species
UACGUAGGGUGCAGGCGUUAAUCGGAAUUACUGGGCGUAAAGCGUGCGCAGGCGGUUUGCUAAGACAGGUGUGAAAUCCCCGGGCUUAACCUGGGAACUGCGCUUGUAACUGGCAAGCUUGAGUGUGGCAGAGGGGGGUGGAAUUCCACGUGUAGCAGUGAAAUGCGUAGAGAUGUGGAGGAACACCGAUGGCGAAGGCAGCCCCCUGGGCUAACACCGACGCUCAUGCACGAAAGCGUGGGGAGCAAACAGG